rnacentral:misc_RNA from 1 species
UACGAAGGGUGCAAGCGUUGUUCGGAAUCACUGGGUGUAAAGGGUGUGUAGGCGGUUAGAUAAGUCGAAUGUGAAAGCCCUUGGCUUAACCAAGGAAUUGCAUUUGAUACUGUCUAACUUGAGUGUGAAAGAGGAAAGCGGAAUUCCUAGUGUAGCGGUGAAAUGCGUAGAUAUUAGGAGGAACACCAGAUGCGAAAGCGGCUUUCUAGUUCAACACUGACGCUGAGACACGAAAGCGUGGGUAGCAAACAGG